rnacentral:tRNA from 1 species
AGUCCUGUAGUGUAACGGUAGCACAACAGAUUCUGACUCUGUUCGUCUUGGUUCGAAUCCAGGCAGGACUGCCA